GACGAACGCUGGCGGCGUGCCUAAUACAUGCAAGUUGAGCGCUGAAGGUUGGUACUUGUACCAACUGGAUGAGCAGCGAACGGGUGAGUAACGCGUGGGGAAUCUGCCUUUGAGCGGGGGACAACAUUUGGAAACGAAUGCUAAUACCGCAUAAAAACUUUAAACACAAGUUUUAAGUUUGAAAGAUGCAAUUGCAUCACUCAAAGAUGAUCCCGCGUUGUAUUAGCUAGUUGGUGAGGUAAAGGCUCACCAAGGCGAUGAUACAUAGCCGACCUGAGAGGGUGAUCGGCCACAUUGGGACUGAGACACGGCCCAAACUCCUACGGGAGGCAGCAGUAGGGAAUCUUCGGCAAUGGACGAAAGUCUGACCGAGCAACGCCGCGUGAGUGAAGAAGGUUUUCGGAUCGUAAAACUCUGUUGGUAGAGAAGAACGUUGGUGAGAGUGGAAAGCUCAUCAAGUGACGGUACCGGAGGAAUAAGCCCCGGCUAACUUCGUG
rnacentral:rRNA from 1 species